GAUGAACGCUAGCGGCAGGCUUAAUACAUGCAAGUCGAGGGGCAGCAUGAUUGUAGCAAUACAAUUGAUGGCGACCGGCAAACGGGUGCGGAACACGUACACAACCUUCCAACAAGUGGGGGAUAGCCCAGAGAAAUUUGGAUUAAUACCCCGUAACAUAGCGAUGUGGCAUCACAUUGCUAUUAUAGAUUUUUCGCUUGUUGAUGGGUGUGCGGCUGAUUAGAUAGUUGGCGGGGUAACGGCCCACCAAGUCUACGAUCAGUAGCUGAUGUGAGAGCAUGAUCAGCCACACGGGCACUGAGACACGGGCCCGACUCCUACGGGAGGCAGCAGUAAGGAAUACUGGACAAUGGACGCAAGUCUGAUCCAGCCAUGCCGCGUGAAGGAUUAAGGUCCUCUGGAUUGUAAACUCCUUUUAUAAGGGACGAAAAAAGGCUUUUCUAAGUCGUCUGACGGUACCUUAUGAAUAAGCACCGGCUAACUCCGUGCCAGCCGCCGCGGUAAGAC
rnacentral:rRNA from 1 species